rnacentral:rRNA from 1 species
UACGUAGGGGGCAAGCGUUGUUCGGAAUUACUGGGCGUAAAGGGCGUGUAGGCGGUUUAGCAAGUCAGAUGUGAAAUCCCAGGGCUUAACUCUGGAAGUGCAUUUGAAACUGCUAGGCUAGAGUGCAGUAGAGGUUGGCGGAAUACCCAGUGGAGAGGUGAAAUUCGUAGAUAUUGGGUGGAACACCGGUGGCGAAGGCGGCCAACUGGGCUGUUACUGACGCUGAGGCGCGAGAGCGUGGGGAGCAAACAGG